rnacentral:other from 1 species
UGCUCCCUGCGGUGUGCGCCUAGACUGCGAAUUCUUUGAACCAAUAAAUUUGCCAAGGUUGCAGCUAUAGAUGAGUGCUGGUGUGCGCGUUACCCGUUAAUGUGCCUGAUGCGCUUGCGCUGUGACCCCUUGAACCCUAGGUUCAAGAUAGCGGUCUGACGGCAUUGGCGGGGGGCAC